UAUUUAGGUCACACUUGGAAGGCUCUCUGAUUAAUUACUAUUGGCCAACAGGAUGACUCAAACAGCGGUAUGUGUCAAUAUGGCCUAUACCCUGGUAGUUUUGCCUCGUGUCCAUAGAGGAGGUAGAAGCCUGGUUUCAAUGCAGUAGCUGAUGCUCCUCAGAAAAAAAAGAUCCUGACUUCAUACAUCAAACUCAGUUACCCACCUCUAAGCAAAAAAUAGUCAAGAUUCUCAGAAGCAUAUGGAACUAUGAUGGAUAUACUUGAAACAUAAAAGGAAUUUGAUAAUGAAGGAAUCUUCCAGAGAAAUCACAUUACUGCCUGCCUGCUCAAACUCAGUUCCAGUAACCACCUAACAGGUACCCAUGUUCCAGUCCCAUCAGAAGAUGUCUCAUGAUGGAAAUAUGCCUUC